CCUCUAGAGGCCUCCUGAGAUGAUCUCCUUGUUCUCUCAUGACAGUUUUGUUCCUCUUUUUUCCUUCUCCUUGCAGGGUCUUCAGCUCCUUCCUCUUUUGUUGGGAAUGAGGGGCGCUUGGCAGCUUGGGUCUUCAUUCUCAGCUGUGGGUUACCACUCUGUGGUCAUCAAUGCCUGGUCACCGAUGGGCAAUUGAAAGUGGCUGCAAUGUUACCCCUUGGUCCCGGAGGAUGCCACCAUCAUCGCUGACCUCACCGGAGACAGGCAGUUUACCUACACUAAGCACAGUGGUUGAGCAUUUUGAAAUGAAGACUUCUGAGGCCAAGAAUAUGGACUUCCCGGAGGCCACUUGCGUGCAUCACUUCCAAGAAGGCUAUUCAGUAAUUCACCGGAUGGCCCAGCUGAGUGAAGGUCAAAGUGAGCAAAGGCAGCACUUUUUAGGAAUUGAACGGGGAUCAGAAAGUUUGCCCUGAUUACGUCCUGAGUCUGGUCUUCCCUCACAAGGCCCGCUGAUCUUCAGAGCUCUGCUGUUGAAGCCCGGUGACUCAUUCCUCACUCAAGGUAUUUUGGGUUUGUUACUUCUCAGCCGCUUCACCAAGAACCACAUGGAGCCAAAACAGAGAAGGGAGGAAAUGGGGGUGCAGAUGGGAGGGGUGGGGCAGGAAUCCAAAGUGGCUGUGGAAAAAUUCGGCUGAGGUGCCGUGGUUGAAGCUUGGCCCCGGGGGAGCGAGGCUCUUCCAAAAGCAACAACAGGAAGGAAAGCGUGCUUUGAUUACAACUUCAUUGACAGGCCUGCGCGCACCAUGGUUCUCCUGCAACUGAGCCGGCGUGGUCAGGCGUCCAAAAGAAUGGGCACUGCUCUUUGGGAAUAUUUACGAGCAACCGCACCCAAAGUAUGUGGACUCGGCCAGUGCAAGGUGGAAGGGACAGCCAGACGCUACCUGCAAAAUAGAGUGCAAAUCCUCUGCCCUAAAGGGCUAUCUCCUGGUCCCUGAUACCCAUGUGCCGCUGGCUCAAUGAUGUGGGCUUGCUUGUGGACGGUAUCCAGUGUGCAGCUGCGGCUGUCCUGAGCAGAGGGCCGCUGCCUACGUUGUGAACAAUGGAAAAAAUCACAUGGACAGGACCGCCAGAAGAUUCACGAAUAUAUAUGUUUUAGAGACUUCCAGAAAAUUGUUGUUUAGAAAUUAAUUUUCCUUAAGUUGUCCCCGCCCUCCAAGCCUGUGCAGUACGUGACACUCCUGCCUGCACCAAAAGCUGCUCGGGUCCUCAUUCUGAUAUCUUUAGGAAGAGUAUUGAAUUGCCAUUUGUGACAUUUACUAUCCAUUGCUAGUUCAGGGCUUGCAAGAUCAGCAUGCUGAGAGUAUUCAUUCCUUUUUAAUUAUGCAUUUUUUACUUCAACAAAUAUUUCCUAAAGGCUUAAUGUUGGAGGCAGUCCUUGAGGUCCAGGCCUCUGAUGAGCAUUUCCAGGACAGGACUAUGAACUCUAUGUGAGAGGAAGAAACUGAUGAGACUAGAGACAAGACUGUUUCAUGGAUUUCAUGACAAAUCUCAUGAUUAUUCAGUCUGAGCUGUUGAUUCCUUCUUAUGCAAAGCAUGAUAUGUUUCAAUGGUGGGUUGUACCACGGCCGCUCUAUGCAAACAGUCUUCCUGGAAACAGAAAUACAAAGAAGGUAUGUGAUAGAAGCUUUGUUUUAGGAUGGCAAAACCCAUCCACCUCAGCACAGAAGACAACAAAUUAGUGUCAUAUAGAUCACAUCCUCUGAAUUAUAAGGAAACUUACUCUUAAAAAAACCCUUACUUUGAUUUCCAUAAAUUAGGAAAUUUAAAAUGUUUUUAAAGAACAUUAGGAAUAACUAAUGGUUCAAAGAAAUAAAUACCUAUAUAAUCUUAUAUAUAAGAUUAAG
rnacentral:lncRNA from 12 species